UUCAAUAUGGCAGAAAAUAUGCAAUGAAUUUAAGCUUCAUAGAUGGGCUAAACAAUCCUAUUGAAA
rnacentral:tRNA from 1 species